GACGAACGCUGGCGGCGUGCCUAAUACAUGCAAGUAGAACGCUGAAGGCGGAGAUUGCUCUUCCGGAUGAGUUGCGAACGGGUGAGUAACGCGUAGGUAACCUGCCUGGUAUCGGGGGAUAACGAUUGGAAACGCUAGCUAAUACCGCAUAACAGCAGAUGUUGCAUUACCUUUACUUAAAAGGUGCAAUUGCAUCACUACCAGAUGGACCUGCGUUGUAUUAGCUAGUUGGUGGGGUAACGGCUCACCAAGGCGACGAUACAUAGCCGACCUGAUAGGGGGAUCGGCCACACUGGGACUGAGACACGGCCCAGACUCCUACGGGAGGCAGCAGUAGGGAAUCUUCGGCAAUGGACGGAAGUCUGACCGUGCAACGCCGCGUGAGUGAAGAAGGUGUUCGGAUCGUAAAGCUCUGUUGUAAGAGAAGAACGAGUGUGGGAAUGGAAAGUUCACACUGUGACGGUAUCUUACCAGAAAGGGACGGCUAACUACGUG
rnacentral:rRNA from 1 species